CAAGGCGCGGAUCUUAACCUAGUUUUUAUGUAAUAGACUUGCAAAAAGUUUGUAGAUAGGUUAUUAAUAUGCUGUGUUAUUAGAAAAAAAAUAGAUAUGUGAAAUGGUCAAGCCAUAAAAACAAAUUUGUAAAUACCCAAUUUGAAUCACAGAGUAGUUGAUCCUCUUUUCCCUCGGUGGAGUAGCUAUUGCAUCAUUAUUUGUUAGCCAAUGGAUAUGAUUUCUUCAAAGCUACAAAAAAAAAACAAAAUAGCAAUUUGAGUAACAUGUGCGAGAGAAUCAGAGAAUAACUAAGGAUACCACUUGUUUUCAUUUAUGUACGGUUCUGCUCGUAGUUUAUAGCAGAAAAGAUUCCUUUGUUUUUUUUUUUGAAACACGAGAAGAUUCCUUUGUUCUUUUUUUUUUUUUGAACGACAGAGAUUCCUUUGUUUUGUUUAUCUUUUUUCUUCUUCCCUCUCCAUUUCUGUUUUUUUAUUAAAGUACGUUAAAUCGUUUCAUAAAGAUAUGACAUAGAAAGAACAGAUUUGUAAAUACUCAUUUUGUUGAUAAUAGAGUUGAGAUGCUUAUCGUUACCUUGAUUGCUGCAAACUUUUGAUUUCCAUUCUUAUAUUAAAAAAAUUAAGUUUUGAGACAGAACACACUCCAAUGCCAUUUUUAAUCUGAAAUGAACAAAAGAGACUAUUAAUCGAGAAUGAGAGGAAAGUGUAUAUAAUUAAGAAUGAUCAUUUAAAAAAUAUUAAACUAAAAAUUAUCAUUUGUAUGGAGUUUGUUUCUGAUCAGAGAAAGAUCAGACAAUUAAUUUUAACAUAAUAAUUCGACAACAUUUAUUUUACGUGUUAAUUAAAAUAAUUUCAAAAGUUUGAAUGAAAUUGAUUCAUUCAUGACAAGAAUUCAAUCGGUUAAUGAUUUUUUUUAUUUCUUAUAGAAUCAGUUAGACAUAGGCAUUUAGGUACCGAUAGUUUUUUUAGGUAUUGGAUUUUUGGGUUUGAAAUUAAAUUUUAUUCGAAUAUUAUAAAUUUUUGGACAGGGUUCGGACUCGAAAUCUUCAGGGUCCGGAUCGUUUUUUUUUGGGUGUUGGAUAUUUGAGUUUAAAAUUAAACUUUGUUCGGAUAUUAUAAUUUUUGGACGGGGCUCGGACUUGGAUCCUUCCGGGUCCGGAUAGGUUUUUAGGAACCUAGAAAUAUCCAAAUAACUUAUGUGUUUAGAAAUGUCAUUAAACAAAUUUAUAAAAAGGUAAAAACUAACACCCACACAAACGUACAGAUCAAUCUCUAGUAACACUUAAAACCACAACCAUCACAAAGGCUAUAAAGACCCUCACGACGAAUAGGAUUUUGGUUGAGAAAAAUUCCGCUCGACCAGUUUGGAGUUGGUUCGACCACAAUUAAAAAUAAAAAUCGACCCAGUGAUUAUUGUCUCGACGGGACUGUCUUGUGGUCGAUAGACCUUCCCUUGAUAGUUUUGACCGAGUGUUAAUUAAAAUGGACGAUUUAUAUUUAAGCUGGACGAUUUUAUCCGAAAGCAAGACUAGAUUCGACGGACUAGAAACGUUGGUUGAAAACUGCCCGAAAAGACCGUUCAGAUGCUUGGUCGGUCAUGUGCGAUGCACAUGAUUUUCACCUGCUUGCUUUCUGGACCAGUCAUGUGACGUGCACCUGCUUACAUGUCUGCUUGAUUCAUUAAAAAAUCAUGUACAAGUCACCAGCUGCUUGAUGUUUCUUCAUGGGAAGGAAAUGAGUUUAUGUCAUGGGAAGGAAAUGAGUUUAUGUCAUGGAAGGGAAAGUGUGAUUCAGCUCACCACUUGUCUCUUAAUUCUGUCCUUUCUUGCUGACUCUUCCUAUGCUGAUAUCCUCUCAUUUAUUAACCUCUGGUCUUCCUGGGCGAGCUCAUUAAGCCCAAAACCAGACUGAAAAUUCAGAGAGAAAGAAAGAAAGAUGAGAGAAAAAACUGUGAGAAAUAUUGGUUGAAAAAUUCAGAAAAAAUCAGGAAAGAGAAGUGAUCUUGGACGACCAUUUCUCACCAUCUUGUGACUUAAAUCAGUGAGUAUUUGGGUGGUAAAGAGUUGGAGAUUUGGUGUCCUGAAGUUGAAAAUCACUCAUGUUCUUCAGCCUUUGAUUUUAAUCGGUAAAGAUGUUUGGCGUGGCUUCAUCUUAAAGUGGUGUAUCAGUUGAGUUCAAACAGUGUUUGAUUUGAACCAGUAAACUGUUUUGCCUUUUGAUCCAGAUCAGUUUAGAUUGUAACCAGCUGGCUUAGUUGUUGAUCUUCCUCUCUGGAUUAAUUUCUUAAUCCCUUGUGUGGAUUUAUAUUAGUUCAGUUCAUGGUCCCCUAUCAUCUAGAAAACUUAGCUGAAACGAUUUAUGUUUGAACCGAACUGAAGCUGCCUUGAACUUGUCUUAGUAGUUGUCCUGAAUUUUGAACCUUGGGGUUGAACCGGACUGAUUAACCUUUGUUCCAACCGUUCUGUUAUUGGUACAGAUGGAGUGGUCGGAUCAGCCGGAUCGUUGUGGUGGUUUUAAUUCGAGAAUGUUCCAGAAGCCGAGUGUGAUUAGCUUGAGCUCGAGUCUAGUCUUCCUUAGCCAAUCUCAUGGAUUUAAAGGUGAAUCUAGAUAGAUGAUUGAUGAGUUUUAGGAUUAAGUGUUGCUUGAUUGAAAUUACUGAUUAUGCUUGUUUGAUAAGUAAGUCGUUAAUUUAUAUUGAAUGGUUAGAUGUUUACUUACUUAUGUAAACACUUCAAAAUUAUUAUGAUUUAUUCUUUGAGGUUCAUCCCAAGCCUUAGUACUUGUUCUCAAGUAAUAAUUUAACGAUUAGUACCGUGACUGGUCCUGCGAAUGGAACCAGGUCAUGAAGACAAGAUGAUGGAGAGCACCCAGGAGACCGUGUAUUGCAUGACGAUGCAGUGUCGGAUGUUCAUAUUGGACAUUCGACGAUGAUGGUGAUGCUAACUCGCUAGACUCGUUUAGCCUUUGUGAUUUCUCGGGUCUAGCAUAUAUAUAUGUAUGAUUAUAUGAGUGAUAUGGAAGACGGGAAUAGGAAGCGAGGUAUAAGAUAAGAUUCACAUCGAUGGAAUGAUAGACCUUAUAUAUGUAUUUUUAUUAGUUAUGGAAUAUAUUUCCACUGCAUACAAAUGGAGUUGAUUGCUUGUGAUAUUAUUAAUAUACGUUGGGUGUGGGACUAGGCUCACUGAGCAAACUAGUUACUCAUGACUCAUUUGUGACGCAGAUAACCAGUAGACAGGAGACCUUACUCUAGGACUGGAAGGAACAACAUUAGCCAGCGGUAGUUUUAUCAUCCUUGCAAAGUCGUUUUGAUAUUUCUUAUGUAUAAGAUUUGUUGACCGAAAACCUCGAGGUUAUAUAUAACAAAUUUCGUAAGAUGCUUUUGAAUGAUAUAUAAAGAAUGUUUUUAAAGUACGAGUUUCAUAUGAUAUUAGUCCUUGUCCGGACGAACUAACUAUCGGUUAUUGCUUUUUCGGGUUGAAAAGCCUAGAGUGAUAUCUGAUAGGAGCGUUGGUGUUCUUGGGUUGUUGGUCUAAGGCGAUCGAAAGUAUUCUGAGAACCUCUGAUCGACCAUCGAAAAAUAUCGACCGUGUCAUUUCCAGUCAUCUACAAUCGGGGGUGUACAGCAAAGUUCAGAAAUCAAAGAUUAGAUUGGAGGAUAUGAUAAACGACUUGUAAAAUAUGCCUAAGACACUUGGUGGAUCGAGUCUCUUGGUUGACCACGAAGACAAAACUGGACAAUGGUUCGGCUCUUAACAACUGGGACACCAAUCAAUUUGUGAGCCCCAAGAACUAAAAGUUUAUACGUAAACUAGACCCUUGAGCUCAACGAAGUCAUAACUUGAACCAAGCCCAAAUCGAACACACAAGACUGGACUCUCAUAUCAUGUAAACCUUGUGGGCAACGUUUCAAUAUUUCAGCAUCUAUCAGGCGAUUUAGUAUUAGAAUGAAACUGAGCAUAUUUGUCACGGUAAAAAAGGGAAUUUUGAAGGCAGUCUUGAUACAGGGAGAGGAGGCCAAAUAAAAUACAUCCACCACUUCAAAAACAUUACUGCUUUAGGAUUAUUCUUUUUUUUUUUUUUUUUUGAUAAUCCAGGGUUCCCCGCUUCGCGGGUCAUUCCCUGGGCCCGGUCAGGCAGCGGGCCGGCUUCACCCGGGAG